rnacentral:lncRNA from 1 species
GCAUCUCUGCCAACUCUAGAGAGUUUAGAUAUCUACUUAUUUAUAUCUACAUCUAUCUAUAUUUAUAUUAAACAAAAGUGACAGGACAUGGUAAUAGAUGCAAUGUAUAGGUGAAUUAGAGAGAGGUAUCAAGCUUGACUCCCAGGUUUCUGAUAGAAUGGCUGAAUUGAUGGCAAUACCUUUCACUGAGAGGAAACAUUGGCAGAAAACCAGUUUUGAAUGAAGAGGAUGCUUCCUUUUCCUUCUGACAUGAGUGGAACCAGCCAUAGGCCCUCAUCAGAGGCAGAUGCUGGCACUUUGCUUCUCGUACAGCCUGCAGAAUGGAGGAGCUCGCUGUUACCUGAAGGGAUGGACUGGUCGGUGGAAUGUCCGGUGCCGUGAGUUACCUGCUCAGCCCUGGAGCAGGGGUCAAAGCUGGGCGGAGCUGGACAGCCAGUCUCAGCCUCAGGUACUCCAGUGACAAGCAGCAGCACCAGUGCUGAUGAGGGUAGCAGGGAAAACUGGUGAAAUGUGCCGAGGUCUCUCCAGAGGUGGUAGGCGGUUGCGCCAGCUUCACAUCCUGGAUAGGCAGGAACGUUUCCCUAUCAUACUCCUGUCCCGGGUCUCAUGUGUCUCAGUUCAAACAGACACUGCCGUCUAUCUUCAAGCUGCAAUGAAGCUGAGAGCCACAGAAAACACCUGUACCAUGGUUUCAGGGAGGAGUCUCUUCCCUCAGCCGAAAACAGACAGCUUUGCUGGUCAUCUGUUCUCCACUGCGAGGACGCUGCCACUCAGUGUGGAGAGAGGAAGGGGUUCUGCCUAUGGUGCAAGAAGGUCGGACUCGGCAGUUAAUACUCUUGGAUAAUGUAUUUAAGGAUGCUUAAGAAAUUGCAACAGCCAGUUCAACCUUCAGCAACCACCAUACUGAUCAGUAGUCAUCAACAUUGAGACGAGACUGUACACCAGCAAAAAGAUCCCAACUCAAUGAAGGCUCAGAUGAUUUUAGCAUUUUUUUAGCAAUAAAGCAUUUUUAAAUUAAACUAUAUACAUUGUUGUUUUAGACAAGUUUUUGCACAUUCAGAAUACAGUAAAGUGUAAACAUGACUUUUAUAUACACUGGGGAAACCAAAAAAUUUGUGUGACUUACUUUAUUGCAAUAUUUGUUUUAUUGUGCUGAUCUGGAGCUAAAUAUAUCUGAGAUAUGCUUGUACUGAUGAUUAUUUUAACACCAAGAUAUUUUAAAAUUCAUUAAAUAAAUGUUUAUUUAAAUAGACCUCUAGCAUACAUUUACUGGUAACUAAAGGCUUUGUUAACAAAGGGAAAUACUAAAUUAUUAAGGUUUUGCAUGACUUUGAAAAUUUCUAUAUUGAAUUAUAAAUACUAUGGAAUUAUAGCCUUUUUUUUGUUUUUUAAAUCAAAGAUUUAAAUUUUUCUCAAAUGCAUCUUUAUGAUUGAAGUCUGCUUAUCAUUAACAUUUGAUAUCAGAAGCACUAAUUCUUUGUUGUAGCCUUGUUUCAUCAAAAGCUGAUCAACUAUGUCUGUAUGAGUCUGUCAGAGAGCUGAAAAAGUAAUCAAAGGUCAA